AAGUCUUUACGGAGAAAGCUUUAUGCACCAUUGGAUGAGCCUGCACUUGAUUAGUUUGUUGGUGGGGUAAUGGCCUACCAAGACUGUGAUCAAUAGCUGAUUUGAGAGGAUGAUCAGCCACAUUGGGACUGAGACACGGCCCAAACUCCUACGGGAGGCAGCAGUGGGGAAUCUUGCACAAUGGAGGAAACUCUGAUGCAGCGAUGCCGCGUGAGUGAAGAAGGCCUUUGGGUUGUAAAGCUCUUUCGUCGGGGAAGAAAAUGACUGUACCCGAAUAAGAAGGUCCGGCUAACUUCGUGCCAGCAGCCGCGGUAAUACGAAGGGACCUAGCGUAGUUCGGAAUUACUGGGCUUAAAGAGUUCGUAGGUUGUUGAAAAAGUUGGUGGUGAAAUCCCAGAGCUUAACUCUGGAACUGCCAUCAAAACUUUUCAGCUAGAGUAUGAUAGAGGAAAGCAGAAUUUCUAGUGUAGAGGUGAAAUUCGUAGAUAUUAGAAAGAAUACCAAUUGCGAAGGCAGCUUUCUGGAUCAUUACUGACACUGAGGAACGAAAGCAUGGGUAGCGAAGAGGAUUAGAUACCCUCGUAGUCCAUGCCGUAAACGAUGUGUGUUAGACGUUGGAAAUUUAUUUUCAGUGUCGCAGCGAAAGCGAUAAACACACCGCCUGGGGAGUACGACCGCAAGGUUAAAACUCAAAUGAAUUGACGGGGACCCGCACAAGUA
rnacentral:rRNA from 1 species